UACAGAGGUCCCAAGCGUUGUUCGGAUUCGUUGGGCGUAAAGGGUGCGUAGGUGGCGCCGUAAGUCAGGUGUGAAAUCUCGGGGCUUAACUCCGAAACUGCAUUUGAUACUGCGGUGCUUGAGGACUGGAGAGGAGACUGGAAUUUACGGUGUAGCAGUGAAAUGCGUAGAGAUCGUAAGGAAGACCAGUGGCGAAGGCGGGUCUCUGGACAGUUCCUGACACUGAGGCACGAAGGCCAGGGGAGCAAACGGG
rnacentral:rRNA from 1 species